AGAGUUUGAUCAUGGCUCAGGAUAAACGCUGGCGGCGUGCCUAAUACAUGCAAGUCGAACCUGGAGACCGACUUCGGUUGGUCGAAGGAGUGGCGAACGGGUGAGUAAUACAUAAGCAACUGCCCACGAAGACCGGGAUAAUCCCUGGAAACGGGGACUAAUACCGGAUAGGCAUUUGAGGGCAUCUCUUAAAUGUUAAAGAUUAAAAGCACUGGUGGAUGGGCUUAUGGCGCAUUAGCUGUUGGUGAGGUAACGGCCCACCAAGGCGAUGAUGCGUAGCCGGCCUGAGAGGGUGAACGGCACAUUGGGACUGAGACACGGCCCAGACUCCUACGGGAGGCAGCAGUAGGGAAUUUUCGGAAUGGGGGAAACCCUGACCGAGCAACGCCGCGUGAGUGAAGACGGCCUUCGGGUUGUAAACUCUGUUGUAAGGGAAGAACGGUACGGAGAGAAUCUGUAAGUGACGGUACCUUACCAGAAGCCACGGCUAACUACGUGCCAGCAGCCGCGGUAAUACGUAGGUGGCGAGCGUUAUCCGGAUUAUUGGGCGUAAAGGGUGCGCAGGCGGCCUGUUAAGUUUAAGGUGAAAGCGUGGGGCUUACCCCAUACAGCCUUAGAUACUGGCAGGCUAGAGUACUGGAGAGGAAAGUGGAAUUCCAUUGUAGCGGUAAAAUGCGUAGAUAUAUGGAGGAACACCAGUGGCGAAGGCGGCUUUCUAGCAGUAACUGACGCUGAGGCACGAAAGCGUGGGGAGCAAAUAGGAUUAGAUACCCUAGUAGUCACGCUGUAAACGAUGAAUACUAAGUGUUGGGGAAACUCAGUGCUG
rnacentral:rRNA from 1 species